GUUUCAGCAGAUGACAGAGCAGGUAUAACAUCGUCUGGAUGAACUUGUAGUUGAAAAUCUGAUGAAUCUUCUCUACACAUAAUAUGAGAAGAAAAGAAAAUGAUGGAAAUCUGUAAUUGAUUGGCAACACUUACCUACUUUUCAUUUGCUGCAUUAGUGAGAUUGUUUUGACUUUUUUCGCUUGGGUUCGUUUGUUUUAUUGCAAUCACUGUGCCAACUGCCAGUAAUUCUGAGGAUCCUUUUAGAUUUAUUACAUUUAUAUUAUUUUCUCAGGUCUGUGAUCAAUGCCAAAAU
rnacentral:misc_RNA from 1 species